CUUGAGCGAGCCGAGAUACAGCGGCCGGUCAUCGGGCCGGUCCUGCCCGUAGGUGGCCAGGAGGGCCUGGGCCUC
rnacentral:antisense_RNA from 1 species